AUACGGAGGGUGCAAACGUUGCUCGGAAUUAUUGGGCGUAAAGCGCGCGUAGGCGGUCCGAUAAGUCGGAUGUGAAAGCCCUCGGCUCAACCGAGGAAGUGCAUUCGAAACUGUCGGACUUGAGUAUGGGAGAGGGUUGCGGAAUUCCCGGUGUAGAGGUGAAAUUCGUAGAUAUCGGGAGGAACACCAGAGGCGAAGGCGGCAACCUGGACCAAUACUGACGCUGAGGUGCGAAAGCGUGGGGAGCAAACAGGAUUAGAAACCCCAGUAGUCC
rnacentral:rRNA from 1 species